rnacentral:pre_miRNA from 1 species
UCUUAUAGAUAAACAAAGAUAGUAGUUUCUUGAGGUGGAAUCUACUCCCGGUGAAGAUGUUGUGAA